CGAACGGGUGAGUAAUGCGUGACCAACCUGCCCCAUGCUCCAGAAUAGCUCUUGGAAACGGGUGGUAAUGCUGGAUGCUCCAACUUGACGCAUGUCUUGUUGGGAAAGUGUUUAGUGGCAUGGGAUGGGGUCGCGUCCUAUCAGCUUGUAGGCGGGGUAAUGGCCCACCUAGGCUUCGACGGGUAGCCGGCCUGAGAGGGCGGACGGCCACAUUGGGACUGAGAUACGGCCCAGACUCCACGGGAGGCAGCAGUC
rnacentral:rRNA from 1 species